rnacentral:siRNA from 1 species
AAUCAAAUGUUCAGGAUUGCUGAA